rnacentral:snRNA from 1 species
AUACCUUUCUCGGCCUUUUGGCUAAGAUCAAGUGUAGUAUCUGUUCUUAUCAGUUUAAUAUCUGAUAUGUGGGUCAUUGACUCACACGAUAUUAAAUUACUUUUUUGAAGGGGAGAGACCAUUACAGUAGCUUGCUAUUGGGUUUCUUAAGUAUCGCUCAUGUGUUGCACUAUUACAUGGGCCGGUGCACCCUCU